UAUGGCCACACCUACCACCCUGAAUACGCUCAAUGUUUUCUCAUUUUGGAAGCUAAGCAGGGUCAGGCCUGGUUCGUACUUGGAUGGGAGGUAGUCGACUAUACAUUAUGAGGUGUUUUCAUAU
rnacentral:rRNA from 1 species